rnacentral:rRNA from 1 species
GACGAACGCUGGCGGCGUGCCUAAUACAUGCAAGUAGAACGCUGAAGCGAGGAGCUUGCUCUUCUUGGAUGAGUUGCGAACGGGUGAGUAACGCGUAGGUAACCUGCCUUGUAGCGGGGGAUAACUAUUGGAAACGAUAGCUAAUACCGCAUAACAAUGGAUGACACAUGUCAUUUAUUUGAAAGGGGCAAUUGCUCCACUACAAGAUGGACCUGCGUUGUAUUAGCUAGUAGGUGAGGUAAUGGCUCACCUAGGCGACGAUACAUAGCCGACCUGAGAGGGUGAUCGGCCACACUGGGACUGAGACACGGCCCAGACUCCUACGGGAGGCAGCAGUAGGGAAUCUUCGGCAAUGGGGGCAACCCUGACCGAGCAACGCCGCGUGAGUGAAGAAGGUUUUCGGAUCGUAAAGCUCUGUUGUAAGUCAAGAACGGGGGUGAGAGUGGAAAGUUCACACUGUGACGGUAGCUUACCAGAAAGGGACGGCUAACUACGUG